rnacentral:antisense_RNA from 1 species
UUUUUUCCCUGAGACAGAGCCUCGCUCUGUUGCCCAGGCUGUAGUGCAGUAGCCACCGCGCCCGGCCGAUUUUUCAUCUUUUGAUACAAACAGAAUCAUGCCAAAUGUCCUGAUCAGAUGUUUAUUUCAGUUUUAGGGUCUCUGACUGCCUUUUUAGGACUACAAGCAACACUCUUGCCAGUUCCUGGAACAGUGCUUGGUGGAGUAUCAGCUGAUGUAGCAAGAUUUUUCUGGAUCAGCUUUCUAGCAUUCUGUGACAUGACAUCAGGCUGAGUCUUCUGGCCAGUGUUACUCCGGACUGCUACAGAGAAAGAGUUGGUGGCUCAAUUUACAUAUAAACAGAACACAGAGGGGG